rnacentral:sRNA from 1 species
AGCAGCCGCGGUAAUUCCAGCUCCAAUAGCGUAUAUUAAAGUUGCUGCAGUUAAAAGCUCGUAGUUGAAUUUCGGGACCAAUAUGUCGGUCGUGCUUCGGUACGUACUGUCAUAAUUGGUUUCUCCCUUCUGAAGAACCUUGAUGUCAUUAAUUUGGUGUCUUGGGGAAUCAGGACUGUUACUUUGAAAAAUUAGAGUGUUUAAAGCAGGCUCGCGCUUGAAUACAUUAGCAUGGAAUAAUGAAAUAGGACGUUUGAUUCUAUUUUGUUGGUUUCUAGGAUCGACGUAAUGAUUAAUAGGGAUAGUUGGGGGCAUUAGUAUUCAAUUGUCAGAGGUGAAAUUCUUGGAUUUAUUGAAGACUAACUACUGCGAAAGCAUUUGCCAAGGAUGUUUUCAUUAAUCAAGAACGAAAGUUAGGGGAUCGAAGACGAUCAGAUACCGUCGUAGUCUUAACCAUAAACUAUGCCGACUAGGGAUCGGAUGAUGUUAAUUUUUUAAUGACUCAUUCGGCGCCUUACGG